CCCCUCCCAGGAUUGCACCUGGAGAGUUUCCAGUAUCUACCAGUCUCAGAUAUGGGAGGGAGAGUCAAGCAGAGGCCUGUCCAUUCCAUUCCCAUCUUGGGCAGUGGCUGGUGAGUGGAAGGCCAUCGGCUACAAAU